rnacentral:rRNA from 1 species
UACGGAGGAUCCGAGCGUUAUCCGGAUUUAUUGGGUUUAAAGGGUGCGUAGGCGGGUUGGUAAGUCCGUGGUGAAAUCCCCAAGCUUAACUUGGGAACUGCCGUGGAUACUAUCAAUCUUGAAUAUCGUGGAGGUAAGCGGAAUAUGUCAUGUAGCGGUGAAAUGCUUAGAUAUGACAUAGAACACCAAUUGCGUAGGCAGCUUACUACACGAUCAUUGACGCUGAGGCACGAAAGCGUGGGGAGCAAACAGG